CCUACGGGAGGCAGCAGUGGGGGAUAUUGCACAAUGGGGGAAACCCUGAUGCAGCGACGCCGCGUGUGGGAAGACGGUCCUCUGGAUUGUAAACUACUGUCCUCAGGGACGAAGAUGACGGUACCUGGGGAGGAAGCUCCGGCUAACUACGUGCCAGUCGCCGCGGUACUACGUAGGGAGCGAGCUUUGUCCGGAAUUACUGGGUGUAAAGGGAGCGUAGGCGGGGAUGGAAGGUGGGUGUCAAAACUACCGGCUCAACUGGGAGUCGCACUCGAAACUGCAGCUCUUGAGUGAAGUAGAGGCAGGCGGAAUUCCUGGUGUAGCGGUGAAAUGCGUAGAUAUUAGGAGGAACACCAGUGGCGAAGGCGGCCUGCUGGGCUGUAACUGACGCUGAGGCUCGAAAGUGUGGGGAGCAAACAGGAUUAGAUACCCGAGUAGUC
rnacentral:rRNA from 1 species